rnacentral:lncRNA from 1 species
UGGAGAAGGGAGCAUGAGGCAUUCUGGGCAGCGGGACAGCAUGUGCAAAGGCCCUGAGGCUCUAAGGCUGUACACAUUUGAGCAGCUGAUUAAAGACCAGUAGGACAGAAGGAGGAGGUGAGGGAAAGUGGCAUAAAAUUAGGUGGAGAAAAAGACAGAGGUGGAUCACACAGGGCCUGGGGCACAGUGAAAAUGUUGACUUUUAUUCUCAUUUCAGUCUCCCUGCUUCCUGGCCUUUCUAUUUAAAAGCACCCAUCUUCACCUUCUCCCAAAGGCUCUGGAAGUUUUACAGACAGCAUCUUUCUAGCCUCGCCCUGCGUCUCUUUCUAGUCAUUUGACUGAGGCUGAACAAAGCCCAGAUGGGAGUUUCAUUCCCUUCACCUCCCCCAACUCCCAGCUGAAGGAGGCUGGCCCCAGACACAGGACACAGCUUCCUGACCCUGCGGGCAGGAGCCUGGCUUGUUGGUGACGGGCAGGAGCCUGGCUUGUUGGUGAGUGGGCCUCCUCAUUGCUGCUGGAGUUUUCCAUCCUCAUUCCACAACAAGCCAAGUCAGCAAGUUGCUGCCAGGAACCUUCACACCUUGUGCUUUGGGAUCUGAGGGGAAACACACACACCGGCACCACCCUCCCUGAGCCCGGGAAUGAAGCCAGCAUCAGCGGAGAGCAACCUACUGAGGAAAAUGAUGGAGUAAUUCCCUGGGCACACUUCAGGCGUGGUGCCAGGUAACAGGCCCUGCCAGGGGGUGACAGAGGUGGUACCAUGGCAUGUCUGGGGCCUGCCCCGAGACACCAGCUGGCAGCAGCCACACUCUGUCCUUAGCAGCACUCGCAGCAGUCCAACACUUUGGUUGUCACGCAAGACACGCUGUUUCUGACAGGACGCCGCAGCCGGGUAACACGGGCAGAUGCAGAGGGCACUAUCCUGCGGCGCUUUUUUGAAAGCACGCCAUUUUUCUUCCCUACCCAAUUAACUUUCCAGAGACCCAUCCCGAAGGACUGGAUUCAUCACUAGAACCAACAAGAUGAGGAUUUGUAGAGCCGGCUGCCGUGCCACUGAGGCUCCUAGUGGGUUAUCUGCGUGGCUUGCCUGACCUCAGCAGAAAUCCACAGCGCAGGGCCCAGAGCUGUGUGAGCACCUGCAAUUGAAGAAUUCACAAUUACAAGUCAUGUGUCUAAAUUGGCAGGCUUUCAAGAAAGUCCCACCAAUCUUCAAGCAUACAGCCGCCAAGGGCCACGUAAAAUGUUUGUAGCUUUAAUAUACAGUUUCAUUUGCUUGAAUAUCAUCAGCUUGGGUGCAGAUAAUCAAAGAAUGGCUCAGGAUGGAGAAUUUAAUAUGAGAAUUCGGCCAGGGCUGCCAAGCCAUAUAUGUGCUAAUGUUGCAAUUUCAACCUUGGACUUAAGGUCAAGAUUAAUUUAGUGAAAAAUAUUAUUUCACGAUGUAACAGACACCUUCUGAGUUGGAGAGCCGAGGAAUUCCGGAGGAUGGAUGAGGCAUGGGUGUGUCUAGAGACCUCAUGGCAAAAGUGGCUGCAUUGCCCCCUCAAAUGUUAGUUAAUAUUUGGGCACAUUUGAGAGAUAACAACAUAGGGAGAUUUUUCUUUAACUUUCUAUUAUGGAAAAUCAAACAUAUGCUAUAUUAGAAAGAACAGUAUAGGAAGUGGAAAACUUUUUCUUUACAGGGCCAGAUAGUAAAUAAUUUUGGUUUCCCAGGCCAUAUGUUCUCCGCCUCAACUAUACAGCUCUAUUGUCACACAAAAGCAGCUAUUGAUAGUGUAUAAAUGAAUGGUGAUGUCUUCUAAUAAAACUUUAUUUGUGGAUGCUGACAUAUGAAUUUCACAAAAUUUUUACAUGUUAUUAAUAGUCUUCUUUUUUCCUGACUUUUGUACCAUUUAAACAUAUAAACAUCUUUCUUAGUUCCCAACCCUUGCAAAAACAGCUGGUGGGCUAGAGUUGGCCCGCAGGUCACAGUCUGCCCAGCCCCGAAGUACGUAGAAGGACCCCCAGCCCCGAAGUACGUAGAAGGACCCCCAUCCCCAACACCCUGUUUCAACAAAAGUCAGCUCAUGGCCAAUCUUGU